AAAAUAGAUAAAUGGGGAAUGAGGUGGGGAUGGGGGAAUCAUUCCCCACAUGGGAUUCUCCAUCCCCACCCCAUUAAAUUUAUUGGGGAAUGAGGUGGGGAAUGGAGGCAAAAAUUUCUAACGGGGUGGAGAAUGGGGUAGGCCUCCCCACCCCCACCCCACCCCAUUGUCAUCCCUUGAUAAAUUUAGAAAUUGGGAAUGGAAAUUGAUUCCCAAAGCAAAAACUUCAUAAAAUACCCCACUUAAAUUACAUUGUCACAACUUUCUCCUCUAUUUAAAUAAUACAAAAAAUGAAAGCGAAAAUCACAGCAAGCAACCAAAACCCAAAUCUCCUCGCGUAGCACCUCGAAAUUGCGUCAUCUUUCAUUCGGCAGCAUCUUUGGUGUCUUUCAUUGUUGAUUUGAAGAUGGAAAAGAAGAAGAAAUGAUAAAGAAUAGAAACAAAAGAAAAAUGAGAAGAAGAAACCAAGAAGAAGAAGAAGUAACGAAGAAUUUGCAUAAGAGAGAGAGAAAAUAAUAAUAA
rnacentral:lncRNA from 1 species